rnacentral:rRNA from 1 species
GAUGAACGCUAGCGACAGGCUUAACACAUGCAAGUCGAGGGGCAGCACGGGAGUAGCAAUACAACUGGUGGCGACCGGCGCACGGGUGAGUAACGCGUAUGCAACCUACCUAUCAGAGGGGAAUAACCCGGCGAAAGUCGGACUAAUACCGCAUAAAACAGGGGCACCGCAUGGUGAUAUUUGUUAAAGAAAUUCGCUGAUAGAUGGGCAUGCGUUCCAUUAGGUAGUUGGUGAGGUAACGGCUCACCAAGCCGACGAUGGAUAGGGGAACUGAGAGGUUGGUCCCCCACACUGGUACUGAGACACGGACCAGACUCCUACGGGAGGCAGCAGUGAGGAAUAUUGGUCAAUGGGCGGGAGCCUGAACCAGCCAAGUCGCGUGAAGGAAGAAGGAUCUAUGGUUCGUAAACUUCUUUUGCAGGGGAAUAAAGUGCAGGACGUGUCCUGUUUUGUAUGUACCCUGAGAAUAAGGAUCGGCUAACUCCGUGCCAGCAGCCGCGGUAAA